UACGAAGGUGGCAAGCGUUGUUCGGAUUCACUGGGCGUACAGGGUGUGUAGGCGGUUUGGUAAGCCUUCUGUUAAAGCUUCGGGCCCAACCCGGAAAGUGCGGAGGGGACUGCUCGGCUAGAGGAUGGGAGAGGAGCGCGGAAUUCCCGGUGUAGCGGUGAAAUGCGUAGAGAUCGGGAGGAAGGCCGGUGGCGAAGGCGGCGCUCUGGAACAUUUCUGACGCUGAGGCUCGAAAGCGUGGGGAGCAAACAGG
rnacentral:rRNA from 1 species